rnacentral:rRNA from 1 species
UACGUAGGGGGCUAGCGUUGUCCGGAUUUACUGGGCGUAAAGGAUGCGUAGGCGGACAUUUAAGUCAGAUGUGAAAUACCCGAGCUUAACUUGGGUGCUGCAUUUGAAACUGGGUGUCUAGAGUGCAGGAGAGGUAAGUGGAAUUCCUAGUGUAGCGGUGAAAUGCGUAGAGAUUAGGAAGAACACCAGUGGCGAAGGCGACUUUCUGGACAAAUACUGACACUGAGGCACGAAAGCAUGGGGAGCAAACAGGG